rnacentral:rRNA from 1 species
AUUUAGAGGAAGGAGAAGUCGUAACAAGGUUUCCGUAGGUGAACCUGCGGAAGGAUCAUUGUCGAUGCCACGCAGAAAGAGCGACCCGCGAACCGGUUGGAACGAAACUCCGGCGGGGGGAGGCCGAGGCCCGCCCCGUCAACCGAACCCCGGCGCCCCAGGCGCCAAGGAAACGAAACGAAGCAGGGCACUCGUGCCGCCUGCGAAAAUCCGAAACGACUCCCGGCAACGGAUAUCUCGGCUCUCGCAUCGAUGAAGAACGUAGCGAAAUGCGAUACUUGGUGUGAAUUGCAGAAUCCCGUGAACCAUCGAGUCUUUGAACGCAAGUUGCGCCCGAAGCCGUCAGGCCGAGGGCACGUCUGCCUGGGCGUCACGCAACGUCGCCGGCGCCCGAUCCUCCGGGCGCGGCGGAUGAUGGCCUCCCGGGAGCCACGACUCCCGGCCGGCCGAAAAGGGGGCCCUACGUGACGGCCGCCACGAUCCACGGUGGUUGAGUGAGCGUUCGCUCGAGGCCAGGACGUGCGCGCGCCGUCCGACCGGGAGGGCCCGCCGGAGGGGGAAGAGCCCCCCGCUCGAACGCGACCCCAGGUCAGGCGGGGCUACCCGCUGAGUUUA